rnacentral:rRNA from 1 species
CUUGGUCAUUUAGAGGAAGUAAAAGUCGUAACAAGGUUUCCGUAGGUGAACCUGCGGAAGGAUCAUUAGUGAACGCCCUCACGGGCUUAUAACUAUUCCAAACCUCUGUGAACCGUGCCCUUCGGGGCUAUUUUACAAACAUGGUGUAAUGAACGUCAUAUAUCAUAACAAAACAAAACUUUCAACAACGGAUCUCUUGGCUCUCGCAUCGAUGAAGAACGCAGCGAAAUGCGAUAAGUAAUGUGAAUUGCAGAAUUCAGUGAAUCAUCGAAUCUUUGAACGCACCUUGCGCCCUCUGGUAUUCCGGAGGGCAUGCCUGUUUGAGUGUCAUGUAGACUCAAUCCCUCGGGUUUCCGAGGAGAUUGGACUUGGGUGUUGCCGCUCUGCCGGCUCGCCUUAAAAGACUUAGCGGGAUAGCACCGUAGUCGGCGUAAUAAGCUUCGUCGGUGAAGGUUGUGAUGACUGCUUACAAUCGCCCUCGGGCAAUUUUUGACUCUGACCUCAAAUCAGGUAGGACCACCCGCUGAACUUAAGCAUAUCAAUAAGCGGAGGA